GUGACCCACUGCACCCAGCCAUAUUUUUACUUUUCUUAAAAUUACAACCAUUGCUCAAAAUUAGGCCACCUUUAAAUCUGCUUCAUAUUUGGUCCAUGCAUGUUUUCUGGAGCUAUCUCCCCCAACCCCUGCCUUGCUAUUUCUUGUUUCCCUUUUUGUUUGUUUGUUUUUUCUAACCACUGAGGGAAGAGACAUAUGCAUCUUUCAGACUUUUGAGAUUCUUCAUCAAAUAAUAUAUGUAAUUAACUUUGCUUCUGUCUUGAAGGCCCUUUUCUCCAAGCCCUCCUACGGGGACGGCUGUCAAUCUCAAAUUUCUUUUCACUGAUCUCCUCCGUGGUUCACCGUGAGUUCAGUUGCACGGCAUCGUUUUCCUUGAGUUUCUUCUUCAUUUUGCCAGAGUGUAACCCUCUCUGUGCCACAAUUUUCUCAUCUGUAAAAUUAGGAUAUUAAUAAUGCCAUAGUGUUGAUGUGAAGAUUCUAGGAGUUUUAACACAUGAAAAGUGCUAAGAAAAGUACCCGGGGAGAAGACAGCAAAGCACAAUACGAAAAGAUGAAUGAUAAUCAAGGAAUGAGCGAAUUUGUCCAGUUGCGUAAGCGUUGACAGAGACAAAGUAGCGUCGCACUUCUUCAUUCACGACUGCAAGUCCUGUGGGUCGUUAAUGUUUUUGUUGUUAUUGAUGUUGACGGUGGGUUGGGCUGGGCCAUUCCCACAACAGCAUUACUUGUUUCAGAGUCUAUUAGCUUGAUCAAUGCGAUCGCCUCUUCCUACCUGAUCUUCCCCGCCGGCGUCUCCUCACAGUGUUCUGAGGUUCCUAUAAUCUCUCCCUAUGUCAACCAGUGCCUCUGUGCUGGCAAUUCUCCAUCUCUAACCUCGAUUUCUAGGUGGCUUACCUGGAGGGGUGGUCCAGACCUCCACACCUGAGAGCCUGUGCCCUUGGUCAUCAUGUCCUCCUUUGGCCGUGGCUGCUGCUCUUGUCCAUUCACCAUCACGUAUGGAUGAAAGAGUACAAGACGACACCUCGAUGGAUCUCCAGAGUGCCGAAUGGAGUCUUCUCUGCUCCCAUUGUGCAGCAGCUUCAUCCUCCUGAGAAUCCCCCUGCGAUUCCCCAGUUUCCUGUCACCUCUCUGUGCUGACUAAAUGAUGAGCCGUGCCCAUGCCACAUGGGGCCAAACUGGAGCCUGAGGCAAGAGGAAGCACAUGCACCCCCAUGAGUACUUGCCAGAAUGUCCUCUGUAUUCUGAACAAAGCAGAAAACGUGAACAGAACCUCUGGAAUCAAAACCCAUGACUAGAUAUGAAGCCCAGUGUUGUUCUAUCCGCACCUGAUACGGUUUGGAUGGUUGUCCCUGCUCAAAUCUCACGUUGAAAGUGAUGCAAAAACAGCCUAACACAGCAUGCCACUGUGAACCCUCAUGAAGUAGUCCCAUGGGGACAGGGAGGCCAUGGCGCCCAGGAACCACAGCUGAUUGGAAACAGACAAGCAAACAAACACCUUGGCUUUAUUUAAAAUGUUGAUACUUUGUUCAUCAUGAA